rnacentral:rRNA from 1 species
CCUACGGGUGGCAGCAGUGAGGAAUAUUGGUCAAUGGUCGGAAGACUGAACCAGCCAAGCCGCGUGAGGGAUGAAGGUACAGAGUAUCGUAAACCUCUUUUGUCAGGGAACAAAGGCGGGGACGUGUCCCCGGAUGAGAGUACCUGAAGAAAAAGCAUCGGCUAACUCCGUGCCAGCAGCCGCGGUAAUACGGAGGAUGCGAGCGUUAUCCGGAUUUAUUGGGGUUAAAGGGUGCGCAGGCGGUUUGGUAAGUCAGCGGUGAAAUGCCCGGGCUCAACCCCGGCCCGGCCGUUGAAACUGGCAGUCUCGAGUUGGAGAGAGGUAUGCGGAAUGCGUGGUGUAGCGGUGAAAUGCAUAGAUAUCGCGCAGAACUCCGAUUGCGAAGGCAGCAUGCCGGCUCCACACUGACGCUGAGGCACGAAAGCGUGGGUAGCGAACAGGAUUAGAUACCCCUGUAGUC